UUUCUCAGCUCGAAAAAAGUUAACUGAAAUGAGAGGUGCAUGUAAAAACCCACACCCAAAGAUGGGGGCCACACUUUUAUUACUCUGAAUGACAACGACGUCUUUUUAAAAGCAACUAACUCCCACACCCGCGCGGGCGCGCGCGCGCGCGGGCGCACACACACACACACACACACUAGCACAUUUGCGCACACAAACCACACAAACUUUAAGCCUUGUGAAGCUGCCCAGGUGGUGUUUAGGAAAUUUGGGUAAAGAAAGAAUGAAGGAAGAGCUAGUUUGAAAGUUGAUUUCUGGCAAGAGGAAAGAAAAGGCUGCAACAUUAAAAGAAGAAUCAGAGUGUUAAAAGGACGCCCAAAAUGUAGUAUUGUGGCAGGUCGGGGGAGGCGUUUUCUUCCCGAGCCCUGUCAUCACGGUCCCAGAGGCCCCGGAGCCCAGAGUGUCAAGGGUUUGGAGAGCCGCUAGGGCCGCAGAGGCAACAAGUCCUGGCCUCUAGCCCCGGGCGAGCGCCGCACCGCUCCGCAGCUGAGCCAGGGGCUCGCUUCGCAGAAAUGAAUUUUGCACGUGUAAACUAUUUGCCUGUGGACGCGCACAGCUGAGACCCUCCGGUUUAUCAGGGGAAAAAACUCUCCCCUUAAAUGGAGGGUUUCGGAAAAAGUCAGCCAUUGGUUCUCGCCCAGAUGAUUAUUGAUGCAAAGUGAACCCUACGGGUUGGAGCGCGGGCACGUUUCUUUAACCCUAAAAGUCUUCCACUUCCGAAUUGCUUACGCUGACUUCCACUCGAAAUCGCUUGUAUUUUUUUUUUUUCCAGGGGUGAGAAAAAUAACUAGGAGUGAUCUGUGGGAGAUGGUGUAGACAUGUGUUAGUGUGAGAGACACAUCUCACUGGAAAGCGAUACCCCAUGUUCGCUGAAUUGUAGAAAAGUGGCCCCAAAGAAACUGGAAAGGCGGCUCCCAGCGCGCGCACACACAUUUCCACAGAUAUGUUUUGGAGAUGCGUACUUAUAUGCACUUUACUGUCGCGAACCCGCGGCUCUGGGAUUCGGUUUUGUGGUUUGAAUAAUAUUGUUGGUCUGCUGUGUAUUUUAUGACACGAAUAUUUAGGCAUCCAUGCUGAGUGGUCGUUCAUUGACGCACUAAACAGUAACCCGCAAGCGUCUUCCAUGAGCCAGAUUUUAAUCAGUUUUAGUUCUCUCCUACUUAGCAGAGUGGAAGAAACGCGAGCUGCGCCAAAGGUUGGGCAGAGCCGAUCCAGUUGUUGGCAAACAAAUCUUUGCCAGUUAUUGCUGAGGAAGCCCAGAGAAACUGACUUAGGAAGCCAGAGAGAAGUUGACAAGAGAGCUGAUCGCGGAUCGGAGGCGAUUUUGUUCAUUAGCAGGCGCGACUCCUGCGCUUGGGUCUGGCGGGGCGAGCAUAUAAAAUGCAACUUUUGCCCCAUUGGUUCGCUAGGUGAAUUAGCGCAUACUGGGACUGAACAGUCCUUGACCUUUGCCUUUAUGUUUGCGCAAAUGUUUGCCUAAAACACAAUCGGCCUUGACAAGGGAGCAUGCUACCGUGUGACACUGCCUAUUCACCAGAUAGAUGUUCCCUGCCACACACGACCCAGAGCAGCCUUUUAAAUAGCUUAGGUAUUUGUGCAAACCGUAUAAAUUAAUGUCGGAUGAUUGCUAGUUGCUAGUUAAAUAGAAGACAGUUCGGGUGUGGGAUACACAUCUCUCUCUGGUCUUUUUUUUCCCUCCCCCCUUCAAGUAGUCAACAAGAUAAUCAGAAAACAAAACUGGUAGUGCAGGAAAGUUUAUAUUUGAGGGAGUCAAGAAAUUCUUGUUUGAUUAUACCCAUGACAUAAGACUGUAGUUCUCCUACAAAUGACUUUUCCACAAAGAUGGGGAGUGGAUGAAGGAAGAGAGGGGAACAGUGGGGAGAACUGGGGGACUAAUGCUUAGGACAAUUGGUAAUGGGGAGGUUUAGGAAACAAACCCGAAGAUCCUGGAGGAUUUAUUGUUCCUGGAGGAGCCAUGAGAGUGAAGAAGCUCUCCGGGGCCCCAGGAACCCUGUGGGACUGGGGAAGUUCUCUCGACUUUUGAGCUUUAUGGUUCUGAAUACUUCCUCCAAUUAAACUAAAUACUUUAGCAGGUGGAGAAAAACAUCUUGUGAAAAUCUAAAAUUGGUUCAAACCCUCUUUUUAACUAGUACUUUGUAGAUCCGAAAUGAUUUAGAGGGCUGGGCUGCCUUUCCCUGAACUUUGACAUGGGGAAAAAAAUGAACUUCCCUUGGCUUUGUUUCCUAGCUGGCUUCAGAAUUUUCCACAUUCCUUUCUUUGCCAUCAAGAUGGCAACACAUCACAGAUUUCCAGGGCUUAAUUUCUGUGGCAGGUAGAACUGUAGUAACAGAGAGGACAAAUUAAAAAGAACUGGGGCAUUUGAAGUACUCCCUUUAGGGAGUGUCAUUCCUUUGGGUGAGUGGAGUGUUUACUUUGUUCCAAAAGGAUGGUGUUGAUCAGAGAAGCACAAACUCAAGCCACAAUCUGGGGAUGCAGAUUUAAAUGUCCCAAGAGCCUCUAUAGUUUCUCCAAACACUGGCCAAGUCUCUUUCAGGUUUCCUUUAACCUUAUGCAGGUGGACAGGAGGGUGGGUCACCAGUUCUCCUUGGAAGCCCUUCUCUAGUUCUCUGGGCUGAAUUUACUUUUUCACUCCUGGGGGUUAUGGGUCAGAGCUGGGGGAAGUUUCUUUAACAAAACCUUUGUCCCCCAGAGAAUUUUGGUGUAGCACAAAAGCAGUAGAAAGGUAGCAACAACAAGCCCAGAAUGCAAAA